GAUGAACGCUGGCGGCGUGCCUAAUACAUGCAAGUCGAGCGACCGGACGAGAAGCUUGCUUCUCUGCUGUUAACGGCGGACGGGUGAGUAACACGUGGAUAACCUACUUAUAAGACUGGGAUAACUUCGGGAAACCGGAGCUAAUACCGGAUAAUAUUUUGAACCGCAUGGUUCAAAAGUAAAAGACGGUCUUGCUGUCACUUAUAGAUGGUGCCGCGCUGCAUUAGCUAGUUGGUAAGGUAACGGCUUACCAAGGCAACGAUGCAUAGCCGACCUGAGAGGGUGAUCGGCCACACUGGAACUGAGACACGGUCCAGACUCCUACGGGAGGCAGCAGUAGGGAAUCUUCCGCAAUGGGCGAAAGCCUGACGGAGCAACGCCGCGUGAGUGAUGAAGGUCUUCGGAUCGUAAAACUCUGUUAUUAGGGAAGAACAUAUGUGUAAGUAACUGUGCACAUCUUGACGGUACCUAAUCAGAAAGCCACGGCUAACUACGUG
rnacentral:rRNA from 1 species